rnacentral:rRNA from 1 species
GACGAACGCUGGCGGCGUGCCUAAUACAUGCAAGUAGAACGCUGAAGGAAGGAGCUUGCUCUUUCUGGAUGAGUUGCGAACGGGUGAGUAACGCGUAGGUAACCUGCCUGGUAGCGGGGGAUAACUAUUGGAAACGAUAGCUAAUACCGCAUAAAAUUGAUUAUUGCAUGAUAGUCAAUUAAAAGGUGCAACUGCACCACUACCAGAUGGACCUGCGUUGUAUUAGCUAGUUGGUGGGGUAACGGCUCACCAAGGCGACGAUACAUAGCCGACCUGAGAGGGUGAUCGGCCACACUGGGACUGAGACACGGCCCAGACUCCUACGGGAGGCAGCAGUAGGGAAUCUUCGGCAAUGGACGGAGGUCUGACCGAGCAACGCCGCGUGAGGGAAGAAGGUUUUCGGAUCGUAAAGCUCUGUUGUAAGAGAAGAACGAGUGUGAGAGUGGAAAGUUCACACUGUGACGGUAGCUUACCAGAAAGGGACGGCUAACUACGUG